UGUAUUGUAGCUCAGUGGUAGAGCACUUGCCUAUCAUGUUUGAGGCACUAGGUUCCAUCCUCAGCAUUACAG
rnacentral:tRNA from 1 species